CACACGACUCUCGGCAACGGAUAUCUCGGCUCUCGCAUCGAUGAAGAACGUAGCGAAAUGCGAUACCUGGUGUGAAUUGCAGAAUCCCGCGAACCAUCGAGUCUUUGAACGCAAGUUGCGCCUGAGGCCACUUGGCCGAGGGCACGCCUGCUUGGGCGUCACG
rnacentral:rRNA from 1 species